UUUUUCUCCUCUCCAACCCCAAAUCCAGCUGGAAGAGGUUAAUUAUUUCUCCAGGUUGCCAAACUGGACAGGCAUAAUGUCCAAGUACUCUAUACACUGCCUUUGAGAUUUCCAGUUUCCCCUGCAAUAAUUACACUCAUGAAGGACCUGAUCUAAACAGAGAGAGGCAUUCAGUUGUGCUAUGAAAGAAAUAUUUACCAUGUAUUCACCUACAUCUUUAAGUACAUUGUCUAAUUGCGCUUAUGUGUGUGGAUGUCUUUAUGUUCGUCAAAAUGUGUAUGUUCUGUGUGUGUGUUUGUAUGUGUGUGUGUGUGUGUGUGUGUGUGUGUGUUUUUGAGACUCUGUUUGUGUCUAAUGUGGUGGGGUGGUGGUAGUGUAGUGGUUAAGACACUUGGCUAGUGUACAGUAGGCUAAAACGUUGUGGGUUCAAUUCCUGGCUUCCACCGUUGUGCCCUUGAGCAAGGCACUUAACCCCAAGUUGCUCUGGAGACAGUGUAGUCCCGCGUAGCAUAGUUGACAUAUGUAAGUCACUUUGGACAACAGUGUCUGCUAAAUGAAUACAUGUAAGUUUAAAUCUUUUGAAGUUCUAGUCCUACAUUUUUUACCCCCAGAUUGGAAAACUAAUCAGCCUGUAACUGUGGUCACAUUGUACAGACCCCCUGGCCCCUACACCGAAUUCUUAGAAGAAUUUUCUGAUUUCUUUUCCACUUUAACCAUCCAAACUGAAAAAAUACUUAUAUUGAGUGAUUUCAAUAUUCAUAUGGAUAAUGUGAAUGAUUGUCUCACAAUUGCAUUUCAAUCCCUAAUUGAACAUGUUGGGUUCUGUCAAAAUGUUAAUUCACCCACACACCGAGAUAACCAUACUAUUGAUCUAGUCUUGUCAUACGGCAUAAGCAUAGAGCAGUUAACAGUUCUGCCACAACACCCGACCUUAACUGACCACCAUCUAAUUACUUUUACAAUGACAUUACAAUAUGCAGUACCCAAUUUAGCUGAAUACUACAGCCGCGGCCUAUCUGAAAAAACGAAUGCAGACUUUCUAGAAAAAAUCUCGUUUACGUUUGCCCCCUUCCGGACCCAUGUGGUAUCAGAAGGCCCUUUCCUUAAUCCAGCCGAGGUCGACUGAUAAUGUAAUGAACUCAUUACGCUCAACCCUUGAUUCAGUAGCACCACUAAAAAAGAGAGUAAGGAAACAAGUAAGGCGUGCUCCAUGGUACACCACACAGACAAAAACCCUCAAACAAGCAGCACGCAAACUUGAACAAAAAUGGCGUUUUACUAAAUUGGAAGUCUUCCGCCAAGCAUGGAAAGAUAGCCUUAUCACCUACAAAAAAGCACUCAACGAGGCUAAGUCAAGCUACUAUUCCUUGCUGAUCGAAGAAAACAAAAAUAAUACAAAAUUUCUCUUUACCACAAUUUCCCGCCUGACGAAGAGCCACACUGAAGUAACCGAAUCUAUCCCUAUAUGCCUAAACAGUAAUGAUUUCAUGACAUUUUUCAAUGACAAAAUUGAAACAAUUAGAGAUAAGAUUUAUAACCAAUCAGUCUCACCAGAUAUUCGUACUCCAUUGCUGAACGGUAGCGAAAACAUAAUUGAAUCACAGAUGAGACAAACAACUUUGAUUUAAUUUACACCGAUCGACAUAUUAGACCUCACUUCCACAAUUUCCUCAUCAAAAUCUACAACUAGUCUACUAGAUCCUAUCCCUACUCAUCUUCUGAAAUCUGCUCUCCCUUUCUUGGAUAAUGCUUUGCUCCAGAUCAUAAAUAACUCACUGCUGUUAGUGCUGUUUAAGUUAUCUGUUAUUAAGCCAUCCCUCAAAAAACCUACCCUUGACCCUAACAGCCUGGCCAACUAUAGGCCUAUAUCUAAUCUCCCUUUUCUGUCGAAAAUACUAGAAGAAAAUAGUGUCCAAACAAAUUAGAGGGAUAAGAUUUAUAUCA